GACGAACGCUGGCGGCGUGCCUAAUGCAUGCAAGUAGAACGCUGAAGGAGGAGCUUGCUUCUCUGGAUGAGUUGCGAACGGGUGAGUAACGCGUAGGUAACCUGCCUGGUAGCGGGGGAUAACUAUUGGAAACGAUAGCUAAUACCGCAUAAUAGUAGAUGUUGCAUGACAUUUGCUUAAAAGGUGCAAUUGCAUCACUACCAGAUGGACCUGCGUUGUAUUAGCUAGUUGGUGGGGUAACGGCUCACCAAGGCGACGAUACAUAGCCGACCUGAGAGGGUGAUCGGCCACACUGGGACUGAGACACGGCCCAGACUCCUACGGGAGGCAGCAGUAGGGAAUCUUCGGCAAUGGACGGAAGUCUGACCGAGCAACGCCGCGUGAGUGAAGAAGGUUGUCGGAUCGUAAAGCUCUGUUGUAAGAGAAGAACGAGUGUGAGAGUGGAAAGUUCACACUGUGACGGUAUCUUACCAGAAAGGGACGGCUAACUACGUG
rnacentral:rRNA from 1 species